AACAGUCCAAUAACGGCUGAAUUGAGGGGUAUUUGGGGAAAAAAAUUUUGGGCUUCUAUAAAUAGCCCUUUCCUCCCUCAUUCUCACCACACCAAACCAACUAUUCUCUCCUUCUCUACUACUAUUAUUUCUCUCUUCUAAAGUGCUCUUCUAGCAAUUUAAUUUUUAGUUUGCAUUUAGCAACUGUUCAAGUGCUACACAAGAAGAGGUUCCUGUUGAGAAGAGAAGGUCACUCCUGUUGAGAGCACAAGAGGAAGCUCAGAAUCUCGGCUCUGCGGCUCUGCCUCUGCCCUCCGACCCUCUACUCAAUUCCUCCAAUCCUCCUUGUGGUUAGUUUUUAUUUUUUAAAUUCAUCAAUUUAGAUAUGUCAUCUUUUGAGGAAAGUCAGUUUGGCAUUCCUCCUGUUUCUGAGGGAGAAGAAACUAAUCCCCAACCCCAUAUUCCUAGUUCCUCUAGAGCUAGUGAACCGAGU
rnacentral:lncRNA from 1 species